UUCUGUUUGGAGCAGUGGUUAGCGUGCUCGGCUGCCUAGCCAGAGGUUGCUGGUUCGAUUCCCCCCACCAGAUA